AAGAGAGCUCAAGAGAAAGUCUGUCUGCGGACCUGUGAGUGACUCCACAUGAAUGAGUCAAGUGAAGAACGUGCGUGAUUUCAAAGGAGGGAAAACGAUCAAGAAGGGUGCUUUUUGAAUAUUCACAGAGGAACUUGCCCGUGCGCAUUUGCGCAGACUCUCCAAAGUCCCUUGGACACUUGCGCACAAGCGCAGCUCAAGUCUCUGGGUCACCCUGGAUGAGACCCUACACGAUGACUCCCGUUCCCGCAGAAUGACAUCUGGCGUGGAGAUUGAUGCGGCGCGUGAUGUCCGUGAGCUGGAAGUUUUUAUGCUGCCUCCUCAUGAGAAGUGACGACUUUAGACUGUGGGUGGAAAAAUAUGGACAAGGACUUUUGAGCAGUAGUGAAUGAUGGGUUGUUGUGACGUGUUUAAAUGCUUUGUAUCGAAUCUUCACCUGUCACGUAGGGCUGGGGGAUGUACGUGUUCAAUUUGAUAUCUCGAUUUCUUUAAAACGUUUGACAAUGAAUUACAUAUGUGAAGAGUUUGUUUCCAAAACGAGAUAACUCCGUUUUUAAAUUUGUUCAAAAAGCAUGUGUUUUUAUUAUGUUAUCAUGUUUUCAUUGUGUUCAAAAGCUGUGUAUUUGCUUAUGGCUUAAAUCAAAACAAACCAUCUGUUGUUUGGUUGAUAUUAAUUGGAAUGCACAAUAAAAAAACAUGAGUUUUGAAAAAUCUUAAAAACGGAGUUAUCUCUUUUUGGAAACAAACUCCUCAUGUGACCCAGUUUGUGAAAACCACGCUGAAGUACCAUACACUAGUUUUGAGAUUAAGAGCAUCAAUUUGUGAGCAUUAAUUUCACCAUGUUUUCCAUUUUUAAACAUGACCUUACUCGGUCAAUAGGCUAUUAAAGAUAUCAAGAUUAUAGACGGUUUCAUCGGACGCACGUGUCUGGCACGAAGUUAAAGGCACAGUUCACCCAAAAAUAAAAAUUCUGUCAUCAUUUACUCACCCUAAGGUUGUUUCAAACCUCCUACUUUCUUACAAAGAAAGAUAUUUGUAAUAAUGUUAGCAAUUUUCAGUUCUGUGACAUCAUCCACUACCAUAGUAGGAUUUUUUAUUAUUAUUAUGUUUUGUUGUUCUGUUGAACACAAAGUGAGAUAUUUUGAAGAAUUUAGGAACACAAACCGUUCUGGGGCAUCUUUAAUUUUUCCUACUAUGGCAGUCAAUGAUGUCACAGAACAUUCUUCCAAAUAUCCUUCUCUGUGUUUAUCAGAACAAAGUAAUUUAUACAGAUAUGAAAUGACAUGAGGCUGAGCAAAUGAUGACAGAAUGUUCAUUUUUGGGUGAACUAUCACCUUAACUUCCGCUCUGUGUUUGUUGAUCGGUCUGGUGGGACUAAUAAUAUAACUUCAAUGUUUUGUUGAAUUUUAUCGUGUAUUCAUUUGAUUAAAUAAACUUUUCUACUCUUCUUCUAAAAUGAUUGUUUUGAUCAGGCUCUGGUGUUUAUAUCAAACUGUAUUUCACUUUAAGUUUAAUGGCAAAGAGGACAUAUUCUUUGCUGUUAAAGUGAAAUCACUAAACCUAAACAUAUAAGAGUCACUAAACGGCACGUAAGAGGCUUUUGCAUCUAAACUCUUCAAAUGUACACCAAGUAAUCAUGUUAUUUUGUUGUAAUUGAAACCGAACGUUAAAUAAGUGAAAUUGCUUAUUGGUGCUAUAUUUUUGACCACAUUUAUCUUAAUUUUCAGCGGUAUUCAAUAUGCUGUAAUUUCAUAUUUUCCGCACAAUUCUUAAUAAUAUUUCAUAUUCACUAUACUGUAGAUCACCCAGCCCUGCUAGCACUUUUCAUUGUUGGGCUUAUAGUUGCCACAUUGCUAUUGUAAACAUGCAACAGUUUCCUAUUAUUAUUAUUAUCAAUGCUUUUCAUUGUUGAUUGAAUAUUGAACAUUAAUUUAUGAAAUCAAUGAUUCACUUGAAGCCGUGCAUUGCCAUUGAUUUUACUGUGGUAAAGUAGAUAUCGGGUGCUUUUUGUUUUGUGUAGUGCCAAAGAAAAACACCUGACACCCCCAAUGGAAACACACAGCGCCAAUGUGGUGCUCAAAUAGUCAUUGUCUAAGCAUCUUUGGGUUUGUAAAGGCAAACAGCAGGCCAGCUGUACCCGAGCAUCAGUAUUGCUGAACGCUUAUCAUUGGCAAUAAAUGUUUCUCUGAAAAACAUCA